rnacentral:tRNA from 1 species
GCGACACUAGCUCAGUUGGUAGAGCGCAACCUUGCCCAGGUUGAGGUCACGAGUUCGAACCUCGUGUGUCGCUCCA